rnacentral:tRNA from 2 species
AAGACAUUAGUAAAAUUUGUAAAUUACAUCACUUUGUCAAGGUGAAAUUGUAGGUUAAAUCCCUGCAUGUCUUA